UACCAGCACCCCGAGUGGUCGGGACGAUUAUUGGGCCUAAAGCAUCCGUAGCCGGUCCUACAAGUCUUCCGUUAAAUCCACCUGCUUAACAGAUGGCUGCGGAAGAUACUAUAGGGCUAGGAGGCGGGAGAGGCAAGCGGUACUCAGUGGGUAGGGGUAAAUCCUCUGAUCCAUUGAAGACCACCAGUGGCGAAGGCGGCUUGCCAGAACGCGCUCGACGGUGAGGGAUGAAGCUGGGGAGCAACCGG
rnacentral:rRNA from 1 species